rnacentral:rRNA from 1 species
UACGUAGGGUGCAAGCGUUGUCCGGAAUUAUUGGGCGUAAAGCGCACGUAGGCGGUCUUUUAAGUCGGGGGUGAAAUCCUGGAGCUCAACUCCAGAACUGCCUUCGAUACUGGAAGACUUGAGUCCGGGAGAGGUGAGUGGAACUGCGAGUGUAGAGGUGAAAUUCGUAGAUAUUCGCAAGAACACCAGUGGCGAAGGCGGCUCACUGGCCCGGUACUGACGCUGAGGUGCGAAAGCGUGGGGAGCAAACAGGG